GACGAACGCUGGCGGCGUGCUUAACACAUGCAAGUCGAACGGAAGGGCCCUGCUUUUGUGGGGUGCUCGAGUGGCGAACGGGUGAGUAACACGUGAGUAACCUGCCCUUGACUUUGGGAUAACUUCAGGAAACUGGGGCUAAUACCGGAUAGGAGCUCCUGCUGCAUGGUGGGGGUUGGAAAGUUUCGGCGGUUGGGGAUGGACUCGCGGCUUAUCAGCUUGUUGGUGGGGUAGUGGCUUACCAAGGCUUUGACGGGUAGCCGGCCUGAGAGGGUGACCGGCCACUUUGGGACUGAGAUACGGCCCAGACUCCUACGGGAGGCAGCAGUGGGGAAUAUUGCACAAUGGGCGGAAGCCUGAUGCAGCAACGCCGCGUGCGGGAUGACGGCCUUCGGGUUGUAAACCGCUUUCGCCUGUGACGAAGCGUGAGUGACGGUAAUGGGUAAAGAAGCACCGGCUAACUACGUG
rnacentral:rRNA from 1 species